rnacentral:antisense_RNA from 1 species
AUAGAGCAACAGCUUCUAUGCAGUUUCUAAGGACCCCGUUAAUCUUCUUAUCCGCCAAGAUUUGGAAAGAUUAUCGGGGUUUUGUCUU